UACGUAGGGCGCAAGCGUUGUCCGGAAUUAUUGGGCGUAAAGAGCUCGUAGGCGGCCUGUUGCGUCCGCUGUGAAAUCCCGGGGCUCAACCCCGGGCCUGCAGUGGAUACGGGCUGGCUAGAGGCAGGCAGGGGAGAACGGAAUUCCUGGUGUAGCGGUGAAAUGCGCAGAUAUCAGGAGGAACACCGGUGGCGAAGGCGGUUCUCUGGGCCAUUACUGACGCUGAGGAGCGAAAGCGUGGGGGAGCGAACAGG
rnacentral:rRNA from 1 species